rnacentral:rRNA from 1 species
GACGAACGCUGGCGGCGUGCUUAACACAUGCAAGUCGAACGGAAAGGCCCUGCUUUUGUGGGGUGCUCGAGUGGCGAACGGGUGAGUAACACGUGAGUAACCUGCCCUUGACUUUGGGAUAACUUCAGGAAACUGGGGCUAAUACCGGAUAGGAGCUCCUGCAGCAUGGUGGGGGUUGGAAAGUGUCGGCGGUUGGGGAUGGACUCGCGGCUUAUCAGCUUGUUGGUGGGGUAGUGGCUUACCAAGGCUUUGACGGGUAGCCGGCCUGAGAGGGUGACCGGCCACAUUGGGACUGAGAUACGGCCCAGACUCAUACGGGAGGCAGCAGUGGGGAAUAUUGCACAAGGGGCGGAAGCCUGAUGGAGCAACGCCGCGUGCGGGAUGACGGCCUUCGGGUUGUAAAACGCUUUCGCCUGUGACGAAGCGUGAGUGACGGUAAUGGGUAAAGAAGCACCGGCUAACUACGG